AACGAACGCUGGCGGCAUGCCUAACACAUGCAAGUCGAACGAGACCUUCGGGUCUAGUGGCGCACGGGUGCGUAACGCGUGGGAACCUGCCCUUAGGUUCGGAAUAACUCCCCGAAAGGGGUGCUAAUACCGGAUAAUGUCUUCGGACCAAAGAUUUAUCGCGUUUGGAUGGGCCCGCGUUGGAUUAGCUAGUUGGUAGGGUAAAAGCCUACCAAGGCGACGAUCCAUAGCUGGGCUGAGAGGAUGAUCAGCCACACUGGGACUGGGGCACGGCCCAGACUCCUACGGGAGGGAGCAGUGGGGAAUAUUGGACAAUGGGCGAAAGCCUGAUCCAGCAAUGCCGCGUGAGUGAUGAAGGCCUUAGGGUUGUAAAGCUCUUUUACCCGGGAUGAUAAUGACAGUACCGGGAGAAUAAGCGCCGGCUAACUCCGUG
rnacentral:rRNA from 1 species